rnacentral:rRNA from 1 species
AUUGAACGCUGGCGGCAGGCCUAACACAUGCAAGUCGAGCGGAUGAAGGGAGCUUGCUCCUGGAUUCAGCGGCGGACGGGUGAGUAAUGCCUAGGAAUCUGCCUGGUAGUGGGGGAUAACGUCCGGAAACGGGCGCUAAUACCGCAUACGUCCUGAGGGAGAAAGUGGGGGAUCUUCGGACCUCACGCUAUCAGAUGAGCCUAGGUCGGAUUAGCUAGUUGGUGGGUAAAGGCCUACCAAGGCGACGAUCCGUAACUGGUCUGAGAGGAUGAUCAGUCACACUGAAACUGAGACACGGUCCAGACUCCUACGGGAGGCAGCAGUGGGGAAUAUUGGACAAUGGGCGAAAGCCUGAUCCAGCCAUGCCGCGUGUGUGAAGAAGGUCUUCGGAUUGUAAAGCACUUUAAGUUGGGAGGAAGGGCAGUAAGUUAAUACCUUGCUGUUUUGACGUUACCAACAGAAUAAGCACCGGCUAACUUCGUG